CGAAUCAACGUCCGCCUUCAACGUUUGCGCAGUCGGCGCCUUCUUGCGCUACACUGUGCGGAGCCUCACCAACACGGCACCGGCACCUGUCCAAGUGCUCGGAUCGUGGCGCAUCUCUGUGCUCCCCUCCUACUCUCUCUUUGUGUUUCCUCUCGUGUGCGCAGCCGCAGAGGCUUGAGCGCAUGUUCCUGAUUAGCUGGUGUCUUGCGAACUGGAAACUUGUAGCUGCCGCUUUAGUCGCUAUCGUAUUCUUAUCCCGCCGCGUCACGGCCUUGCCGCAACAGGAAGCACCGCCGGUGAUGGAACAGCCAACAGCAGAGCCAGCCGAGGCAGACGGCCCAGCGCGUGGCCCAGCGCCACCGCCGCCCUCUGGGCGACCGGCGCCAAAUGCACCAGGCGCCUCCCCACCGGCAAUCGGUGACAGUGGAGAGACGCCAGCUCAGGGGGAGACGCUCGACCCCAUCUUUGAGGAGAUCACGAGCCUCUUCGCUAGCCGCAAUCCCAAGCACGCCUUGCAAGGCUUGUCGGACGGCCUUCGGAAUGCCGCCACAGGUGUUGGGCUUGGCCUGGCCGGCGUCGUGGCUGGCACUUAUGGUGGCGCCAAGGAGGGCGGGUUGGGCGGAAUGGCAAAGGGCUUUGGGGCUGGCGUGGCAGGCUUUGUUGGGUUGACCGGCUACGGCGCGUACGCCGGGGUGCGGCAGAUCGUGCGUGGCGUCGGCAACACCCGCAGUGCUGUGAGCGAGGUGAGCAAGGGCGAGGCGUACUGGGACAGCAACGCGCAGGCGUGGGUUCGGGUGAACCUCGCCUGCGACUUCGAAAGGCUGCCACCGACAGACGAGGACUUGCUCGGCGAAGCGCGCAAGGCGUACGAGAAGGCAAAGAAGGACGGCACACUUCCCACGACGCUACCAGCCAUGACGCCGAACGACUCGGCAGAGGGUGGGGAGGCUUCUGCAAGCAGUGCUACCACGGGUGCGGGAGCUGCUUCAUUGCCGCAAGGGACGGACACGGGAGAGACGAAGCAUGCGGCGGCAGAGCCGGUCAACUACUACGCCUUCCUAGGUGUGGAGUCAACAGCAACGUCGAGCGAGAUACGAAAGGCUUACACUCGUAAGGCGCUAGAGAUGCACCCCGACAAGAACCCCAAUGACCCAAACGCCACCAUCAAGUUCCAGGAGCUGAACAAGAUCUACAACGUGCUCAGCCACGAGGACACCCGCGCGACGUACGACCGAUACGGCACCGUCGAUCCGAUGAAUGUGCCGGAGAUGACGGGGAACCCGAUGAAGGAGUUACUGGGGGCCGCCUUCCUGGAAGCGUUGGUGGGACCGCUGCACUUCUUCCUCGUCUUUGAGGGGGGCGUGCUUUUUACGGCAGAGAUGCAACGCGAGCUGCAUGCUCGUCGCCGGCUGCGUGUCGCAAAGAACCUGAUCUCGUGGCUCGACAAUGACGUAUCUGGUUUUGAGUCUGCCCAGCUUGCGCUGCGCGACGCUGUCUCCACCGCCCUCGGCCCUGUUUUCGUAUCCUACGUGGCGGAGGAGUACCACCUGGCCUCGCGCCAGCAGCUCCACGGAAGUAGCUGGAAACGAGAGAUGGACAGCUGGUACUCAUCGUGGGCCACGUCAGCGUCUUCGCUGUGGCACUGGACCACCAUGGGUGCGCGCACCGCCCGACGGGCCUUUGUGGACAAAAACCUGGGCGAGGAAGACAUCCUGCGCGUGCUGGCGGUGGCCAAUGAGCGUGACGUACGGCAAAUUGUGCUGCAGGCGUGCCGGCUUGUACUGUUUGACAUGAGCGUAGCUCCUGCGCAGCGCCAGCAGCGCGCGAUGCGCCUGGAGGAUCUGAGCGUGAUGGCCAUGAAAGAGGUUGCCCGCGAGGUGGCGUCGCGCGAGCGCGUCGGCGCCUCGGAAGCCACCGCCGCUGCCGCGGAGAAAGGGGCGACUACCAAGACACCCGCCGACACCUCCAGCGUCACAGCCCCGCCGCUCUCUUAGCUCGCUUUCACCGCUCCUCACUUGCAUGAAGACUCUCGCUGCAGCUGACGCAUUGCGUGAAUUGAGGUGUUACCCUGCUGGGGCUGUGGUGUGCGUCGCUUGUGGUGCGGCGCGCCGGUAUGCUAGCACACGCGCGCAUUCGACAAGAAUUAUUGGACGUUGUCUAUUCUUCUUUCCUCUUAAC
rnacentral:misc_RNA from 1 species